rnacentral:rRNA from 1 species
GACGAACGCUGGCGGCGUGCUUAACACAUGCCAGUCGAACGGAAAGGCCCUGCUUGCAGGGUGCUCGAGUAGCGAACGGGUGAGUAACACGUGGGUGAUCUGCCCCUUACUUUGGGAUAAGCCUGGGAAACUGGGUCUAAUACUGGAUAGGACCAUGCUGUAGGUGGUGUGGUGGAAAGAUUAGUUUCGGUAAGGGAUGAGCUCGCGGCCUAUCAGCUUGUUGGUGGGGUAAUGGCCUACCAAGGCGUCGACGGGUAGCCGGCCUGAGAGGGUGGACGGCCACAUUGGGACUGAGAUACGGCCCAGACUCCUACGGGAGGCAGCAGUGGGGAAUAUUGCACAAUGGGCGCAAGCCUGAUGCAGCGACGCCGCGUGGGGGAUGACGGCCUUCGGGUUGUAAACUCCUUUCAGCCAUGACGAAGCCCUUGUGGUGACGGUAGUGGUAGAAGAAGCACCGGCUAACUACGUG